GGAUGCGAUCAUACCAGCACUAAACCACCGGAUCCCAUUAGAACUCCGAAGUUAAGCGUGCUUGGGCGAGAGUAGUACUAGGAUGGGUGACCUGCUUGGGCGAGAGUAGUACUAGGAUGGGUGACCUCCUGCGAAGUCCUCGUGUUGCAUUCC
rnacentral:rRNA from 1 species